rnacentral:misc_RNA from 1 species
UCACCCCUCAAGCCCCGUGCUUGGUGUUGGACGGCCGGUCGAGCGAUCGACCCCUCCUAAAGACAACGACGGCGGCCUGCGGUUCCCCCGGUACACUGAGCUUUUAACCGAGCACGUAUCGGACCAGGGCACCCGGGACCCGGUCCUCUCCUUUAACUAGGAAACUUCUAA